ensembl:lncRNA
CCAGGGUUCUGAACUCAGAUCACCUGUUAAAACCAGAGUUCUGAACUCAGAUCAGCUGUUAAAACCAGGGUUCUGAACUCAGAUCACCUGUUAAAACCAGAGUUCUGAACUCAGAUCAGCUGUUAAAACCAGGGUUCUGAACUCAGAUCACCUGUUAAAACCAGAGUUCUGAACUCAGAUCACCUGUUAAAACCAGAGUUCUGAACUCAGAUCAGCUGUUAAAACCAGGGUUCUGAACUCAGAUCAGCUGUUAAAACCAGGGUUCUGAACUCAGAUCAGCUGUUAAAACCAGAGUUCUGAGCAUUUCAGUCUUCAAAGCCAUCUCGCUCAAACCAACAGCAAUAACUCCCCAGAAAGACAGGAGGUCUUCAUCAUUUACAUGUUUGUAAGUUAGAUAAUACGGAUAUGCGUGUGGAUGUGUAUGUGUGUGUGUGUGUAUGUGUGUGUCUCUCUGCAUGCGUGUACAUGUCUGUGUGUGUUAAACAGACUUGAAAUGAACAACAUAGUUCUCAUUUUCCCAUCAUCUCAGUCCAGCUAAAUGUGAGUAAUGUGUGAUGCAUAAUGGAUUAGAUCUAGCGUGGUUUCUAUGGAAACAAGUAGGUUCACCUCAGACCCGUAUCUCGCACCAGAGGUCAUGAACACACAGACACCAAUGUGUGUGAUGUGUGUGUGAUAACUGGGAAGGUGGAGUGGGCAGUGUAUGUGUGUGUGUGUGUGUGUGUGUGUGUGUGUGUGUUUGUUUGAAGUGAGGAGAGGAGAGAGGGGAGGGGUCACUCAAAGAACUCUCAUUCUUAUGCAAAUAACUCUAAAUGUAUGCAUGGCAGGAAUUGUAGCACCUCUUUAUAAACAAAAUAUGAUGUCAGAGCCUGUGGACCAGCACAUGCACAAACAAGACAAAUGAUCCCACAGGAUUGCUCUGUGUGUGUGUGUGUGUGUGUGUGUGUGUGUGUGGUGUGGUGUGUGUAGUGAAUUAAAUAAAUGUGUCAUGUCACUCUGUUGCCCCCAUUACAUUGUAAAUACACAUCCAGACCUAUGGCAUCAUUGUGUCAUUUACACAUUUACACACACACAUACACACACACACACACACACACACACACACACACACACACACACACACACACACAUACGUACUGUACAUACACAGACAGUAUAUGCUGUACAUGCAGACAUUACAAUACACACAUCCACUUACAUGGUAUAUGGUACAUGUUACAUAGUAGCACAUAGCGGUUCUUUCUUUGGUGUGCUUAGAUUUUAAUCUGUCUCCCACGUCCGUUAUCCGAGGGAGAGAGAGAGGACGCGGAAAUUAAAUGAAUAAACGGAAGGGAGGUAGAGAUUGAGAGAGCAUGCAACUUUUGAUUUCAUGAUUCGUAUUCAUCCAUCUUUGAGUUUUGUGACCUGUCACUCUUGAAAAAUGUAGCAGUUCUCCUGUGGGGGAUCAUGUCAUCUGAGUCAUCAAUCCUCUCCGCCUGCCACCCCCCCUCUACCAAACAGACAGUGGGAUGGUCCAUGGGUUUGCUCUUCUGUCCAGUCCAUUUUGAAGCCAAAAAGGGGGGGGGGAGGGGGAGGGGACUUCUGGCGGCAAGUGGACGUCAGCAGGAACCACCAGGAAAAUGAUUACUUGAGCAGAGCUGUGAAAUGUGGCCGACACUAGAGGAGGCGUAUACUCCCAUUGAGUGGACUGAAGACGUCAUUACGCAAUAGCAUAUUAAACUAACCAUUAUGGAAUGCAAACUGCGCACAUGCACAGAAACAUGUUUUUAAUAUUAAUACAUAUACAGAUAUAUAUGAAAACUAUAUAAAUAUAUAUUUAAUUAGAAUGCUAUGCACUUGCUAAUGGGAUCCACCCCGCCCUGUCCGGGGGUUGUAGUCAUGUUAUGGAUGUAACCUUAGCAACCACCAGACUGCUGGGGAAUGCCUGCUGCCGUGGUUACGGACCCACGGCUUGUUAACCUCUUUCUCCUGUGUUUUUUUUUAUUGCUAUGGAGAUGGCAAUAUAUGGAACAAAAAUACAAUCCUUUCAGCACUGCUGUGAGGGACCUGUAUGACCCUGUACACCAGCUAAAACAUUUACAACAUAAAUAAAGAAAAUAAAUAUCCACAGAUAUACCUGGGUAUUUAUCUGUGUCUGUUUGCGGGUAUGUGUGGUUAUGUGCUAGGCUUUCAGAAACAAAAAGUCGCCUUUAUUUCGCCGCUGGUCGCUUAAAGGUUCCAUCUAAUGGCCUUUGAAGUAAGCCUUCAUCAGGCGGCUCUAAGAAACAUGAACAGAUAGAGAACCUGGUUUGUGGGGUGUGUAGAGUAGUAUGUGUUUGUGUGACUGCACGUAUUUGUGCAUGUUGAACUCCCCAGAUAACUCCAUUUGAGCCAGGACCACACGCAGGAGUUUUUGUCAGUAUUACACAGCUUGUACAUUUGUAAAUUCUAUGCAUGAAUAGAGAGGAGAGAUAUAUACGGGUUCUAAAGGACAUCAGCAAAGGAGAAAUCAAAUUGGUUUAUUAUCUUGUUUAACACAAGACAACGGCACACGUAGAUACUAAGUGAAGACAAUUUGCAGCUGUGAUUAACUUGCAGAAGUGUGUGACGACCACUCUGUUGAACAUGUGACAUUCCUCGAUAAGGCAUCAAGUGUGGAUGAUGUGUACACUUCCCCGUCCCGCCCACGGAGUGCUAUGACAUUGCAAUUCCACUAGAGGGCAGGAGGGCUCACUGAUCCCUAUAGUCCUGCUGGACUUCUCUCUGUUGGCCGUCAGCACUGCAGGGGAAGAUCAGAAAACCUGUUGGCACAGACACCACAUACCUUCUGUUCUGUUCUCUCUCUCUUCUCUCUCUUCUCUCUCUCUCUCUCUCUCUCUCUCUCUAUCUUUAUCUUUGUUGUUUUUGUCUUUAAACAUCCUGAUGUCUGAUAAGCCAAUAAUAUGAUGCACUUACUCUACACAGAUUCUGUCGUGACAAAUAUGAAAUUAUUUAUAAAAAUGAAAUAUGAACAAUUUUGUAUUUCUUUCCCUCCAUGUCCAUGUUUCCUAUCCUUGUGCCCUUCCCCCACCCUCUGUCUCUCUGUCUGGACCCCCCACCCGCAUCAUUAAAACUCUUUGAUGGCUGAAGUCUGUUUAUGGACUGUGUCAUAAAAGUGCUCUCUGUCCAACAGCUCUGCGCCAUAGCAGUACUCAAGCCUCCUUUGCCUACACAUUUAAAACC